rnacentral:miRNA from 1 species
UGUGUGUGUGUGUGUGUGUGUGUGUGUGUAUAUUUACAUAUACACAUACAUACACACAUAUACACACACACACA